CUAAGAGCAUCUUUAUCGCAUUAGCUUAAGGAGGGCGCUUAGCAUAAUUACAAUUAAAAGAAAAUCAAAAAUAGAAAAAAGCAGAAGGGCCGACGCUUAAUUAAGCACGAGAAGCAACGUUGCUUCUUGGACAGGUGGCAAAAUCUGAGUGGGUAGAGGAAUGGUUUGGUGUUUGAAGCGUUUUUUUCUCUCUUUCCUUUCUCUCUUUCGUCUACGAAAGCAAAUCGGUGUUUCUACCGUUUCUUCUCUCCCGCUCUCUCGUUCGGAUUCUCGUCUCUAAAGAGAGGAAAAACUCAAAGUUUUGAUCGGUUGAUAGCCAAAGUAUUGAAAACCAAACCUAGGAGGAGGAAUAGAUAAAAGAUGUGGGCAAAUUUUUGUCUGGCAUCGUGCUGUGCUGCUUGUGCAUGCGAUGCUUGCCGUACUGCUGUUUCUAGUAUCAGCAGACGUUCCGCAAGGAUUCUUACUGUGGUCUCUUUGCAAUUUCUUUAAUCGUUUCAUGGAUCCUCUGUGAGGUCGCUCCUCCUCUCAUGGAGAAGCUCCCUUGUAAAUAUUUUCUUUUUCUCUUCCUAUGUCCUUGUAUUGAGGAUAUUUGAGCUUACGAGAGCUAAGAGUGAUGAGUCCUUUGUAUCUGCUCUGCAGCAGAGUGGUCAAGAAGAGUUAAAAAGUGUAGCAUUGGGAGUGGAUGAUUCAAGACAGGUUUUGUCUCGGGCCAUUCUCUUGUCUCUCUUGUAAAGACCUCUGAGUUAGUGUUCUGAUUGUGUAGCAUUUGUUUAUAGUUUCCCAUACACUUCUGUUGUUUAUAUAAUCAGAACGAUCGCAUGAGUUAGUGUUCUUGGCAAUUUUAUGUUGUUUGUAUGUGUGCAAGUACUCUUUGCUUUAAGUAAAUAUUUUCAAGAAUUUGAGAUGUAUAA